GUGGGGAAUAUUGGACAAUGGGCGAAAGCCUGAUCCAGCCAUGCCGCGUGUGUGAAGAAGGUCUUCGGAUUGUAAAGCACUUUAAGUUGGGAGGAAGGGCAGUAAGUUAAUACCUUGCUGUUUUGACGUUACCGACAGAAUAAGCACCGGCUAACUUCGUGCCAGCAGCCGCGGUAAUACGAAGGGUGCAAGCGUUAAUCGGAAUUACUGGGCGUAAAGCGCGCGUAGGUGGUUUUGUAAGUUGGAGGUGAAAUCCCCGGGCUCAACCUGGGAACUGCCUGCAAAACUGCAUGACUAGAGUACGGUAGAGGGUAGUGGAAUUUCCUGUGUAGCGGUGAAAUGCGUAGAUAUAGGAAGGAACACCAGUGGCGAAGGCGACUACCUGGACUGAUACUGACACUGAGGUGCGAAAGCGUGGGGAGCAAACAGGAUUAGAAACCCGAGUAGUCC
rnacentral:rRNA from 1 species